GAUGAACGCUGGCGGCGUGCCUAACACAUGCAAGUCGAGCGGACGGACGCGGCUUUUGCGUGGCUGAUGUUAGGGGCGGGCGGGUGAGUCACACGAGUAUACCCUACCUAUAUGACUGAGAUCAUUUCGGGAAAGCGGAUAUAACACCGGAGAAGAUUUUGAACCGCGGGGUUCAUAGGAGAGUGACGGCCUUUCUGGCACUAAUAGAGGGUUCCGGGCUGCUUGGGCUAGUUGGUAAGGUAACGGCUUACCAAGGCGACUAUGCGUGUCCGAACUGAGAGGCGGAUAGGCCACACUGGAACUGAGCCACGGUCCAGACUACUACGGGAGGCAGCAGUAGGGUAUGUUCGGCAAUGGGCGAAAGCCUGACACAGUGAGGGCGCGCGUGUGACGACGGUCCUCGGAUCGUAAAGCUCGCUUACUGGGGAUGAACAGCUGUGUCCUGAGACGUAGCGUUAUUGACGGUACCGAAUAAAAAAGCACCGGCUAACUACGUG
rnacentral:rRNA from 1 species